CACACCGCCCGUCACACCAUGGGAGCUGACUCAACCAGAAGACGAUCAGGCUAACCUGCAAAGGGGCCUUCGGCGAAGGUGGGGUUGGUGACUGGGGUG
rnacentral:rRNA from 1 species